CAGUAGCCGCGGGAAUACGUAGGGUGCAAGCGUUAAUCGGAAUUACUGGGCGUAAAGGGUGCGUAGGCGGUUGUUUAAGUCUGUUGUGAAAUCCCCGGGCUCAACCUGGGAACUGCAUUUGUGACUGGCAAGCUAGAGUCUGGCAGAGGGGGGUGGAAUUCCGCGUGUAGCAGUGAAAUGCGUAGAUAUGCGGAGGAACACCGAUGGCGAAGGCAGCCCCCUGGGCCAACACUGACGCUCAUGCACGAAAGCGUGGGGAGCAAACAGGAUUAGAUACCCGCGUAGUCCCUGUCUCUUAUAC
rnacentral:rRNA from 1 species